rnacentral:lncRNA from 1 species
GGGUAGAUGGAAGGAGAGCAGUGGAUGCCAUCUACCUUGACUUUAGCAAGGCUUUCGAUACUGUCUCCCAUGACAUCCUGAUAGCAAAGCUGAGAAAGUGUGGGAUAGAGGAGUAGACAGUAAGGUGGGUUGAGAACUGGCUGACUGGCCGAGCUCAGAAGGUGGUGAUUGGUGGCACAGAGUCUGGCUGGAGGCCUGUGACUAGUGCUGUUCCCCAGGGGUCCAUGCUGGUUCCGGUCUUGUUCAACGUCUUCAUUGACGACCUUGAUGAGGGAAUAGUGUCUGCCCUCAGCAAGUAUGCUGAUGACACAAAGCUGGGAGGAGUGGCUGACAUGUCAGAAGGCUGUGCUGCCAUUCAGCGAGACUUGGACAGACUGGAGAGUUGGGAAGGAAGAAACCAAAUGAGAUUUAAUAAGAGCAAGCGUAGAGUCCUGCACCUGGGAAGGAACAACCAGAAAUAUCAGCACAGGAUGGGGGGUGACCUGCUGGAGAGGAGCUCUGCGGAGAAGGACCUGGGGGUCCUGGUGGACGACAGGUUGACCAUGAGCCAGCACUGUGCCCUGGUGGCCAAGAAGGCCAAAGGGAUUCUAGCAUGCAUUAAAAGGAGUGUGGCCAGCAAGUCAAGGGAGGUGAUCCUCCCCCUCUACUCUGCCCUGGUCAGGCCUCACCUGGAGUACUGUGUCCAGUUCUGGGCUCCCCGGUACAAAAAAAAAGACACGGAUCUCCUGGAAAGAGUCCAGUGGAGGGCCCCAAAGAUGAUACAGGACCUAGAGCAUCUUCCCUGUGAGGAAAGGCUGAGAGACCUGGGUCUGUUCAGCCUGGAGAAGAGAACACUGAGAGGUGAUCUUACCAAUGUGUAUAAAUACCUGAGGUGUGGGAGGAUUUGGCCAACCUCUUGUCAAUGGUUUGUGGGGACAGGACAAGGGGUAAUGGCCACAAAAUGGAGCACAGGAAGUUCUGCACCAACAUGCGAAAGAACUUCACAGUGAGGUUGAUGGAACACUGGAACAGACUGAAGAUACAGAGUCUCCUUCUCUGGAGAUAUUCAAGGCCCAUCUGGACGUCUACCUGGGCAGCCUGCUCUAAGGAGCCUG